GAUGAAGAACGCAGCGAAAUGCGAUAAGUAAUGUGAAUUGCAGAUUUCAGUGAAUCAUCGAAUCUUUGAACGCACCUUGCGCCUUGUGGUAUUCCACAAGGCAUGCCCGUUUGAGUAUCAUUAAAUCAUCAACUCUAAAACCUUUGUGGUUUUUUUUAGAGCUUGGUCUUGAGGGUUUUGCAGGCUUUUUUUUUUUUUUCGAGUCUGCUCCCUUUAAAUGCAUUAGCGAGACUUCCCUAUGCUGAACCGUCUCUUUGACGUGAUAAUUAUCUGCGUCGAAUUUUGGUUCUCGUUGGGCUUGCUUCUAAUCGUCUGAUAAAGACAAAACGGAUUUGGGUGCAUAUAUGCGCCUUUUUCCAAAACCUUUUUUUGAUCUCAAAUCGGGUAGGACUACCCGCUGAACUUAAGCAUAUCAAUAAGCGGAGGA
rnacentral:misc_RNA from 1 species